UACAGAGGUCUCAAGCGUUGUUCGGAUUCAUUGGGCGUAAAGGGUGCGUAGGCGGCGCGGUAAGUCGGGUGUGAAAUCUCGGGGCUUAACUCCGAAACUGCAUUCGAUACUGCCGUGCUUGAGGACUGGAGAGGAGACUGGAAUUUACGGUGUAGCGGUGAAAUGUGUAGAUAUCGUAAGGAAGACCAGUGGCGAAGGCGGGUCUCUGGACAGUUCCUGACGCUGAGGCACGAAGGUCAGGGGAGCAAACGGG
rnacentral:rRNA from 1 species